rnacentral:rRNA from 1 species
GACGAACGCUGGCGGCGCGCCUAACACAUGCAAGUCGAACGAGCGAGAGAGAGCUUGCUUUCUCAAGCGAGUGGCGAACGGGUGAGUAACGCGUGAGGAACCUGCCUCAAAGAGGGGGACAACAGUUGGAAACGACUGCUAAUACCGCAUAAGCCCACAGGUCGGCAUCGACCAGAGGGAAAGGGAGCAAUCCGCUUUGAGAUGGCCUCGCGUCCGAUUAGCUAGUUGGUGAGGUAACGGCCCACCAAGGCAACGAUCGGUAGCCGGACUGAGAGGUUGAACGGCCACAUUGGGACUGAGACACGGCCCAGACUCCUACGGGAGGCAGCAGUGGGGAGUAUUGCACAAUGGGGGAAACCCUGAUGCAGCGACGCCGCGUGGAGGAAGAAGGUCUUCGGAUUGUAAACUCCUGUUGUUGAGGAAGAUAAUGACGGUACUCAACAAGGAAGAGACGGCUAACUACGUG